rfam:Triticum urartu cultivar G1812 contig252527, whole genome shotgun sequence.
GAUUUACUCGCUUCGUUCCGAAUUACUCGUCGCAGAAAUGAAUGUAUCUAGAUGUAUUUUAGUUCUAGAUACAUCUAUUUCUACGAUGAGUAAUUUGGAACAGAGGGAGUACUUG